ACACACACAGGCACUGACACUCCGGGUAGACCACCGUCACUUCAGUUAAGAGUGACCACUCCCCUCCCCACCUCUCCUUUCUGAACACCGGCUUAGGGUACUGGAGAGCAGUUUAAGGCGAUGCAUUGCAGACGCGGCUCAGCUCAAACGCUAGAAUCCCCCCCCACCCCCGCACGACUGGACCACGCCCGGCGAUGCUCUCAGAGAGCUUUGUACUGGGUUUGGUCGUGGAUGCAGUUUCAGGCCAAGGUGGCCACUGCAGAGUCCAAGGUACAGGAGAAGAAGGGACUCUGGCCCUCGGUCCUUUUGCGCUCCACCUUCACUCCCAGCCUCCAUCCGCGAUGCUACACCCACCUUGACCCAGAUGGCCUUUCCCCAACCCUUUCUUGAUGUGAUCACGCCCUGUUGAGAAAGCGCCCAACAGCCCGGAUGGAGUGACAUUGAAUCCGACAGGUCGCUUCAGAGCGUUUGCCUUUAACGUCCUCCUACCGCUUGGUCCGAGGUCUGUGGAGCUGUGUCUUUGGACCACACCUUGUAUGUGCUGUGAGAAGCUGCUUUAUGGUGGAGGGUGGGGCAGGUUAAUAAAGUGCAGAAUUUGUCCUGGUUUUUACUCUAAAAGGGAGCUGGUAGUAUCGACAGGUUAAUCUUGGAAAGCUGAGAAGAGGGCGUGGUGUAAGGGGACAAAUGGCAGCUUGAGGGUCGCGGGAUAAUAUGGAUUUCAGAGGCUUCCUGUCUGCGGGUAUGCCUUAGUGUCACUAUUCCCUUCCAUAGUGCAGGCACUGUCCUCUCUCCCCCUCCCUUCCUGCAAGUCCCUAAGUCCAAAUCUCUGCACGUCGGCUAGCACUAGCAA